AUUGAACGCUGGCGGCAUGCCUUACACAUGCAAGUCGAACGGUAACAGGUCUUCGGAUGCUGACGAGUGGCGAACGGGUGAGUAAUACAUCGGAACGUGCCUAGUAGUGGGGGAUAACUACUCGAAAGAGUGGCUAAUACCGCAUGAGAUCUACGGAUGAAAGCAGGGGAUCGCAAGACCUUGUGCUACUAGAGCGGCCGAUGGCAGAUUAGGGAGUUGGUGGGAUAAAAGCUUACCAAGCCGACGAUCUGUAGCUGGUCUGAGAGGACGAUCAGCCACACUGGGACUGAGACACGGCCCAGACUCCUACGGGAGGCAGCAGUGGGGAAUUUUGGACAAUGGGCGCAAGCCUGAUCCAGCAAUGCCGCGUGCAGGAUGAAGGCCUUCGGGUUGUAAACUGCUUUUGUACGGAACGAAAAGCCCUGGGUUAAUACCCUGGGGUCAUGACGGUACCGUAAGAAUAAGCACCGGCUAACCCUGUGCCAGCAGCCGCAGUAUAC
rnacentral:rRNA from 1 species